rnacentral:rRNA from 1 species
GAGCUUGCUCCACCGAAAGAAAAGGAGUGGCGAACGGGUGAGUAACACGUGGGUAACCUGCCCAUCAGAAGGGGAUAACACUUGGAAACAGGUGCUAAUACCGUAUAACAAUCGAAACCGCAUGGUUUUGAUUUGAAAGGCGCUUUCGGGUGUCGCUGAUGGAUGGACCCGCGGUGCAUUAGCUAGUUGGUGAGGUAACGGCUCACCAAGGCCACGAUGCAUAGCCGACCUGAGAGGGUGAUCGGCCACAUUGGGACUGAGACACGGCCCAAACUCCUACGGGAGGCAGCAGUAGGGAAUCUUCGGCAAUGGACGAAAGUCUGACCGAGCAACGCCGCGUGAGUGAAGAAGGUUUUCGGAUCGUAAAACUCUGUUGUUAGAGAAGAACAAGGAUGAGAGUAACUGUUCAUCCCUUGACGGUAUCUAACCAGAAAGCCACGGCUAACUACGUGCCAGCAGCCGCGGUAAUACGUAGGUGGCAAGCGUUGUCCGGAUUUAUUGGGCGUAAAGCGAGCGCAGGCGGUUUCUUAAGUCUGAUGUGAAAGCCCCCGGCUCAACCGGGGAGGGUCAUUGGAAACUGGGAGACUUGAGUGCAGAAGAGGAGAGUGGAAUUCCAUGUGUAGCGGUGAAAUGCGUAGAUAUAUGGAGGAACACCAGUGGCGAAGGCGACUCUCUGGUCUGUAACUGACGCUGAGGCUCGAAAGCGUGGGGAGCAAACAGGAUUAGAUACCCUGGUAGUCCACGCCGUAAACGAUGAGUGCUAAGUGUUGGAGGGUUUCCGCCCUUCAGUGCUGCAGCUAA